GUGUGCAAGGGCCCUUUGUGACACGGUGCAGCAUGGUCACCGUGGAAUGGAACGGGACAGGGUAUCCAAGGGCCCUUUGUGACACGGUGCAGCAUGGUCACCGUGGAAUGGAACAGGACAGGGUAUCCAAGGGCCCUUUGUGACACGGUGCAGCAUGGUCACCGUGGAAUGGAACGGGACAGGGUAUCCAAGGGCCCUUUGUGACACGGUGCAGCAUGGUCACCAUGGAAUGGAACGGGACAGGGUAUCCAAGGGCCCUUUGUGACACACUGUGGCAAAGGUGUUGGCAGUGACAAGGCCACUCCACAGUGCUCGGUGCACGUGACAAGACAGGAUGGAGAGAGCGGUGCUGUGAGGAGCCCUCGCACAGCCACUCGUUCCUUGCUGACCUGGAGCUUUCCCGAGGUAUUACUCCUGCAGGUGACCUCGUGGCCAGACCAGAGCACUUGGUGACCUCUGGCCUUCCUGAGGCAUCUCUUCUGCAGCUGCCCUCGAGGGCAGAUUGUGGCAUUUGCUUUGCACUGUCCUUGACAGGAGUCUCCUGUCCUUGUGGCUGGAGCCCCCAAGACCAGAGUGCAGGAUUUGCUGUCCUGUAGCCUUGCCAAGACUUCACUCUUGCAGGUGCCCUCAAGGCACAACUGCAGCACUUGCUGACUCGGACCUUUUCCUUUUCACCUUCUGCAAGUAGCCAUGAAUCCAGGCAGUGACGUAGAGCACAGACCUGCGAGCGUGCCCAAGCUGGCCUGGGGGAAGGAGGAGAAAGAAGGCCCUGGAGCUGCCCCAGCACAGCAGCCUGAAAAGGUGGAGCAGUUCCAGCCACCACAGAAGGGUGCAGCCGUGCAGCGCACACGAGAGCAGGAACGCACCCGUGGCCGCUUCCGCAGAACAGCGCAGGUACCUGCAGCCAUCCCCACCUGGGCUGGGCCUGCUGGCACUGCUCAGCCCAGCACUGUGCUCGGAGCACUCCAUGCAACAUCCCGGGCUUCUUGCCCUUCUGCUACAGAUGGUUUGCAAAUUCAUGAAGAGGAUUCAGGAGGAAGAGAGCAGCGUCAUGGGCACUGUGGUCAGAGCCCAAGACCAAGUGCUGCCCUGCUGGAUAUGCUUGUGGAGGAGGGUCCUUCCAGCCCAAAGCAACUGCCUGCCAUGGUGAGGUACAUCCUCGUGGCCAAUGAGUUUCCUGAGUACAAUCUGUACAGGCCCCUUCUGGAUCUGACAGAGGCACAGCCCUCUGACGUGGUGAUGGCUCUCCUGCGUGUGGCCCCAGUGUGUGACAGAGCUGCUUUGGCCAUGUGGAAGAGCAUCAUGUGCUCGCCCAGGACUGCAGAGCCGGCCAUGCUCGUACUCCUCGAUGUGCUGGGGAGCUGGCCAGAGCACAGCACGUGCACCUCCGAUGGGGACCACACGGCUGUCCUUGCCCUGGCUGCAACUGUGGUGAUGUGGAAGAUCCUCCAGCUGCCCUGUGUGCCACAGAUGGUGACCGUGUAUUUCCCCCGCCUGUUUGUCCAUCUGCUCUUCCAAGUGUUCUUCAGCACUCUGGAUAUGCCAGAGGAGGUCGAUACCUUCUGGAAGGGAUGUCAGCAGCAACACGGCCUUGCCUCCAACCCCAGCAGGUUUGCAGUGCGGACCCUGAAGUCCCUGCUCUGCCAAAUGCAGCACGAGGAUGUGGUGGUGGCAAUGGAACGCAAGUGUGGCUGGGACACGCUGCUCUGUGCUGACACCCACCACUGUGCCGUGGGUCUGCUGGCCAGGGAGAUGUCCUGUGUCUCCAUCCCCUUGUGCUCUCGGAUCGCUCGCUACCUGCUCCGGCUGCUCAGCACACAGGAGCCACGCUGGGAGCUGCCCUCCCUGGCGUUCCUUGUGGAGGUCCUCGAGUGCCUGGAAUUGAGUGAACGCGGUGCUGACAGAGUCCUGCAAAUCUUGUCACGGCACCUGAGGAGCGAGUGCAAGGAGAGGCGUCACCUGGCGCUCAGGGCCCUUCUCGAGCUCAUCAAGGAUCCCUCGAUGAGAGAAAAAAUGUGGAGCCUGACUGAAAGUCUUGUGGAGCUCCUGUGGGAUGCGAUGGAGAGAUAGUUAGCAUGACAGUCAUGCUCCUCAACUUUAUCAUCUUGGACAAGGACAUGCUGAUAGCCAGCCCCAUCACACUGCAGCUGGUUGAGGCGCUCCUGCCACUCCUUGACCACGACAAUAGCCAAGUGCAGCUGCUCUCCAUACUGCUCUUCCAAACAUGGAUGACUUUUCCACAGGAAAAAGAAAAGAGGCUCUGAAGACACACGUGCGCCAGAGCCUGCUGCCACUCUCCUUCCACUGCCAUGAUGAGAACCAGCGAGUGGCAGAGGCUUCUCAGGAAACGCUGCUUUGUGCGGCCGAGUUCCUGAAGAGGAGGGAUCUU